AUAAUCUGGUGAGCAGCUCCACCUGCCUGAGGUUAGAAAAGGGCCUUAGGCAGAGGGAAACUAGCCUGGGGACACUCCUGGUCCCAGGGGAGCAUAGCCAGGCCUGCUCUGGGGUUAAAGCAGAGCUGUCCUUAGCCAGCAAGACCGAGUAACCACAGAGCAAACAAAAAUUGCUGUUUUGGAAACACCAACAAGCAUUUUCUGACAUUACAGGCUUUAGCUGCUGCAGGAACUUUAUCUGGAACCAGCAGCUAAAACCAGGAGAAGAUGGGUGAGGAGCAGCGUAUCAAGAUACCCCAAGUUUGGUGCCUAAAAGCCAUGAGUGAAGCUUUUGGGUGGGUGGAGAGAGCUUUUUGUGAAGAGGUUGUCUUCAAAAAGUUAGUGAAGAAGGGACAGAGCCAUGCAAAAUACCAGAAGCCAUCAGCACUGCAUGAAUCCUUCUCUGAAAAAUAACAAAAAACCAUCCAAACUCAUCUGGAGAGGGCAAGCCUGGGAGGUACAGAUCUCCCAUGAAGCGACCCAUUGGUGUCUGACCCAGUGCUUGCAUUGGGGUCUGGAGCCUGAGGGCAGAUUUUGCAGCUUGUUUGCUGAAGCCAGUCAUCUUGUUUUUCCCCUGGCCAGAUGGAGGUUUUUGUCACUUCUCCGGUACUGGGAGUUUUCAGGAAGUCUUUGCUGCCUUGUCUCAGCUUGCCGGGAGCUGCCUGAUAGUGCUGGCAGAGCAGUGGCCCUAGUGGGCAAAGCUGCUCCCCCAGUUUGCUGCCUGUGUUGGAAGAGGGUUGAAGGCAGCAUAUCUGCACCUCCCUUGCUCCCUGCAAAGUGCCGGAGGGCUGAUUUUGCAGCUCAGCUUCCUUGCAUGCUCCAUGCCUCAGUUUCCCUGCUUAUAACCUUGCCUUGGGCCAAGAUUUGAGACAAUGCAAUAAUGUCAUGCUUGGCCAAACAACUCUCUGUAUGGCAGGAACAUCACCUCAGAUGGGUGUUGCCUUAUGCUUGUGUCCUGAACCUUGUUGCAGGAGGGAGCCUUCUCUCCACCAUGGCUCCAGUGAGGUCAGUUACAGCCAGGGCAUCAGAGCCACCUCCUCACCUUCUUCCUUGCCUUCCUUGUACAUGGUCCUGACCAUGUACAAGGAGAAGAAAGACUAGCAAAGCUCCCAGUUUCAGACUUUCCCCUUUGCUCCUCCAUCUCUCCUUCCCUAGUUUGCAGGGGCACCAACUGAAUUACUACCCUCUCUUCUCCGUUACAGAUUUUUAUAUGCCAUCCAUCUCCUUUUGUCCCUGAUUUUCUGAAAAAAAAAUAAAAAUAAAAAUAAAAAAA